rnacentral:rRNA from 1 species
UACAGAGGGUGCGAGCGUUAAUCGGAUUUACUGGGCGUAAAGCGUGUGUAGGCGGUUUGUUAAGUCGGGUGUGAAAUCCCUGGGCUCAACCUGGGAAUUGCAUUCGAUACUGGCAAGCUAGAGUACGGUAGAGGGCGGCGGAAUUCCGGGUGUAGCGGUGAAAUGCGUAGAUAUCCGGAGGAACACCGGUGGCGAAGGCGGCAUCCUGGACCGGUAUUGACGCUGAGGCGCGAAAGCCAGGGGAGCAAACGGG